rnacentral:lncRNA from 1 species
GUGGCGCGCAAAAGAGCCAAUUGUGGUGAGGCAGUUGCUGCAUCG